rnacentral:hammerhead_ribozyme from 1 species
CCCUAGAUGACCAGUCCCAAAUAGGACGAAACGUGCAUCCUGGAU